rnacentral:rRNA from 1 species
UGCGCUUCCGGAUGGGCCUGCGGCGGAUUAGCUGGUUGGUGGGGUAACGGCCUACCAAGGCGAUGAUCCGUAGGGGGCGUGAGAGCGUGACCCCCACAUUGGCACUGAGACACGGGCCAAACUCCUACGGGAGGCAGCAGUGAGGAAUAUUGCACAAUGGGCGACAGCCUGAUGCAGCAACGCCGCGUGCGGGACGAAGGCCUUCGGGUCGUAAACCGCUUUUCUGGGGGACGAGACAGGACGGUACCUCAGGAAUAAGUCUCGGCUAACUACGUGCCAGCAGCCGCGGUAAAACGUAGGAGGCGAGCGUUAUCCGGAUUUACUGGGCGUAAAGCGCACGCAGGCGGCGUCGUGAGUCGGACGUGAAAGCUCCUGGCUUAACUGGGAGAGGCCGUUCGAUACUGCGACGCUUGAGGUUGGGAGAGGGGUGCGGAAUUCCCGGUGUAGUGGUGGAAUGCGUAGAUAUCGGGAGGAACACCAGUGGCGAAGGCGGCACCCUGGCCCACACCUGACGCUGAGGUGCGAAAGCGUGGGGAGCAAACAGGAUUAGAU